rnacentral:tRNA from 1 species
CGUCUUGUGGCUGAGUAAAGCGUAAAUCUUUUAAAUUUAUUAUAGUUUAUCUCUAGACG